rnacentral:rRNA from 1 species
CAUAGCGACUAUCGUGGCAUAUCAAUAAGCGGAGGAAAAGAAACUAACAAGGAUUCCCCUAGUAACGGCGAGUGAAGCGGGAAGAGCUCAAAUUUGAAAUCUUAAAGGGUUUCCCUUUACGAAUUGUAGUUUUAAGAAGUGUUUUCUGUUGGAGUUUCGGUAAAAGUUCUUUGGAAUAGGACAUCAUAGAGGGUGAGAAUCCCGUAUUUGACCGUUACUUUCCAGCUGUGUGAUACACUUUCAAAGAGUCGGAUUGUUUGGGAAUGCAGUCCAAAAUGGGUGGUAAAUUUCAUCUAAAGCUAAAUAUUGGCGAGAGACCGAUAGCGAACAAGUACCGUGAGGGAAAGAUGAAAAGAACUUUGAAAAGAGAGUUAAACAGUACGUGAAAUUGUCAAAAGGGAAGCGUUUGACACCAGUGUUGUUUAGUUGAAAAUCAAUUCAAUAAUUUUUGAUUUUAAGUAGUAUUGACUUCAUCAGCUUGCUGCUUUCUUUUCAGAAAUUAUUGAAUGCACUUUUCAGUUAACAAGUCAACAUCAAUUUCUUUUGUUGUAAAAGGGUAAGAGGAAGGUGGCUUACGCUUCGGCGUAAGUGUUUAUAGCCUUUUACCUCUGCAAUCGGAGAGAUUGAGGACAGCAGCGUAGACUCUUCGGGGGUUAGAUACACUUGUGCUAAGCUAUAGCCUUGUAUAGACAACUUGUUGACUAUGCUCAGUCAUGUAGCUUACUCGCAUGAUGCUAUUUUACCUACGCUUAGGAUGUUGAUAGUCACAGCGUGUAC